rnacentral:rRNA from 1 species
GUUUGAUCCUGGCUCAGGAUGAACGGCUAGCGGCAGGCUUAACACAUGCAAGUCAGGGGUAUAGUUCUUCGGAAUUAGAGACCGGCGCACGGGUGCGUAACGCGUAUGCAAUCUACCUUUUGCAGAGGGAUAGCCCAGAGAAAUUUGGAUUAAUACCUCAUAGUAUUUUCGGAUCGCAUGAUUUGAUUAUUAAAGUUCCAACGGUAAAAGAUGGGCAUGCGUCCUAUUAGCUAGAUGGUAAGGUAACGGCUUACCAUGGCUACGAUAGGUAGAGGUCCUGAGAGGGAGAUCCCCCACACUGGUACUGAGACACGGACCAGACUCCUACGGGAGGCAGCAGUGAGGAAUAUUGGACAAUGGGCGCAAGCCUGAUCCAGCCAUGCCGCGUGCAGGAAGACGCAUCUAUGGUGUGUAAACUGCUUUUGUACGGGAAGAAACACUUCUACGUGUAGGAGCUUGACGGUACCGUAAGAAUAAGGAUCGGCUAACUCCGUG